ensembl:ncRNA C15C7.11 ncRNA
UUUUCAAUUGUUGUUACGCAAACAAAACUAGUAGUGAUGCCUCAAUUGUUGUAUAAUAUUUAUCUAUCUUUU